rnacentral:lncRNA from 1 species
UGGGUGGGGAAGCCAAUACCUGGCUGCCUUUUGGUCUAAGGAGUUUUCCUCUUCUCUCAGCCCUCCGGUACAUGGUUGUGCAUUUUUAGCUGUGAGCCCUUCCAGUUGUGGCAUGUGGGACGACGCCUCAGCUUGGCCUGACGAGCGGUGCCAUGUUCGCGCCCAGGAUUUGAAUCCGCGAAACCCUGUGCCACCGAAAUGGAGCGCGUGAACUUAACCACUCAGCCAUGGGGCCGGCCUAUCAAGUUGCUGUAAGUUUUGAAGCAGUUACUGGCAGUUUCUGCACUCAUCUGGUUGUAAACAUAAACAGUUGGUGGACCAAUACUGGCACUGCUCUAGCUUAUUUCUCUGUUUUAUUUUCCCCAUAGCAUUUACCAUUCCCUGUAAUUACCUUGUGUGUUUAGAGGUCUAUUUGUUUCUGGUUUCCUUCCCUGCCAGAAUGUAAGCUCCAUCAGAAAGAGAUCUUCUUAUCUUGCUCUGUUGCAUUCCUAGUUCCUGGUACAGUGUCUGGUACAUUGUAGGCACUCAGAAUGUAUUUGUUGAAUGAUUACUAAACGACAAGCAUUGGUGGGUGGUGGGAGAGGUGGGAGAGGAGGCAGUCCAUAUCUGUUACAGAAGCUCUCUACGUCAUAACCUGAUGCGAAUUCUAACCAGUUCACCGACAGCUGCCUGACUCCCUGGAUUUCUGGGAGAUCACAAGUUCCCGGAUUAGGUCUGGCCUCUUACAACCCUCCUCCCUAGGUUCCCCCUUCGAGAUUGGACCACUGUGGACUGUCACUGUCUGGUGAUGUGUCUGUCUGCCACAUUGGUUUCUAAGUUCUGAAGGGUGGGAUUGGACCUGAAGUGGUCACUGCUAUGUCCCCAGAGUCACGCGGCAUGGUCAAGGCCCCUGGUCAGCAUAAAUAGGUUUAUGGCACCAAUGCAUGAAUGUGGGCAGGAGGGGGGGGUACCCUGGGGAAACAGUGCCGUACCCUACUUCCCAUGGUCCCAUCCCUUGGCAGGGUCCCAGAGUUGGUCUUGAGCACAGGUCAAAUGGGCUGCGUUACACUUCCUCCCCACUUCCACAACCUCAAGGUGCUUGCUCAGGCUGGCAACACUUGGCACUCUAGACAUUGAGGAGCUGAUGUCCCAUUUAGCCCAAAUGGAUACUUAGAGCCAUCUAAGUAAUGCUGCUGUAUAUAUUUGGUGAUUUGCUCAUGAGCUGGAAGGCAGGUUACCGAGAAAGUAUGGCCACUGUCAAGAGAAUCACGAGGAGUAAUAUACCGAUGCAUACCACCAGAAUUGCUGCAAUCGCAAAUAUGAAGGCAUAGCGGGAAGCCUCGGCUGCCAGGUCUCGUUCAUUCUUAUAGUUGUGUUUCCUUGUCUGAGUUUCAGAAGAGGCAGAAGAGGAAUAGAUGGGUUUAAAGGGUUGUUGGUUGGGGGUGAGAUUUGGUACUGUAAGGAUCCAGGGUGGGGACCUGAACCCACAGGAGCAAGAAUGUGGAUGAAGUUUGUUGAGGGUAAAGGAAGGAUGGGGAGG